UACGUAGGAUGCAAGCGUUGUCCGGAUUUAUUGGGUUUAAAGGGCGCGUAGGCGGCCUAUUAAGUUAGUGGUGAAAACGUUCGGCUUAACCGGUUACCCGCCAUUGAUACUGAUAGACUUGAGUGCGACAGAGGGUGUUGGAAUGUGCGGUGUAGCGGUGAAAUGCUUAGAUAUCACGCAGAACACCAAUUGCGAAGGCAGAUGCCUAUGUGGUAACUGACGCUGAGUCACGAAAGCGUUGGGAGCAAACAUG
rnacentral:rRNA from 1 species